rnacentral:rRNA from 1 species
UUGAAGAGUUUGAUCAUGGCUCAGAUUGAACGCUGGCGGCAGGCCUAACACAUGCAAGUCGAGCGGUAGCACAGGAGAGCUUGCUCUCUGGGUGACGAGCGGCGGACGGGUGAGUAAUGUCUGGGAAACUGCCUGAUGGAGGGGGAUAACUACUGGAAACGGUAGCUAAUACCGCAUAACCUCGCAAGAGCAAAGAGGGGGACCUUCGGGCCUCUCGCCAUCAGAUGUGCCCAGAUGGGAUUAGCUAGUAGGUGAGGUAAUGGCUCACCUAGGCGACGAUCCCUAGCUGGUCUGAGAGGAUGACCAGCCACACUGGAACUGAGACACGGUCCAGACUCCUACGGGAGGCAGCAGUGGGGAAUAUUGCACAAUGGGCGCAAGCCUGAUGCAGCCAUGCCGCGUGUGUGAAGAAGGCCUUCGGGUUGUAAAGCACUUUCAGCGGGGAGGAAGGCGGUAAGGUUAAUAACCUUAUCGAUUGACGUUACCCGCAGAAGAAGCACCGGCUAACUCCGUGCCAGCAGCCGCGGUAAUACGGAGGGUGCAAGCGUUAAUCGGAAUGACUGGGCGUAAAGCGCACGCAGGCGGUCUGUUAAGUUGGAUGUGAAAUCCCCGGGCUUAACCUGGGAACUGCAUUCAAAACUGACAGGCUAGAGUCUUGUAGAGGGGGGUAGAAUUCCAGGUGUAGCGGUGAAAUGCGUAGAGAUCUGGAGGAAUACCGGUGGCGAAGGCGGCCCCCUGGACAAAGACUGACGCUCAGGUGCGAAAGCGUGGGGAGCAAACAGGAUUAGAUACCCUGGUAGUCCACGCUGUAAACGAUGUCGACUUGGAGGUUGUGCCCUUGAGGCGUGGCUUCCGGAGCUAACGCGUUAAGUCGACCGCCUGGGGAGUACGGCCGCAAGGUUAAAACUCAAAUGAAUUGACGGGGGCCCGCACAAGCGGUGGAGCAUGUGGUUUAAUUCGAUGCAACGCGAAGAACCUUACCUACUCUUGACAUCCAGAGAAUUUGCUAGAGAUAGCUUAGUGCCUUCGGGAACUCUGAGACAGGUGCUGCAUGGCUGUCGUCAGCUCGUGUUGUGAAAUGUUGGGUUAAGUCCCGCAACGAGCGCAACCCUUAUCCUUUGUUGCCAGCGAUUCGGUCGGGAACUCAAAGGAGACUGCCGGUGAUAAACCGGAGGAAGGUGGGGAUGACGUCAAGUCAUCAUGGCCCUUACGAGUAGGGCUACACACGUGCUACAAUGGCGUAUACAAAGAGAAGCGACCUCGCGAGAGUAAGCGGACCUCAUAAAGUACGUCGUAGUCCGGAUUGGAGUCUGCAACUCGACUCCAUGAAGUCGGAAUCGCUAGUAAUCGUAGAUCAGAAUGCUACGGUGAAUACGUUCCCGGGCCUUGUACACACCGCCCGUCACACCAUGGGAGUGGGUUGCAAAAGAAGUAGGUAGCUUAACCUUCGGGAGGGCGCUUACCACUUUGUGAUUCAUGACUGGGGUGAAGUCGUAACAAGGUAACCGUAGGGGAACCUGCGGUUGGAUCACCUCCUU